rnacentral:lncRNA from 1 species
CCAAAUCUGCUGCCCAACCGGGGAGUCUCUCCCCUAAGUGUCACUGAGCCCUCCCAGGACAUAAGGACUUAAUUCCCUUCUGCUAGACAGCCCACUCGGGCACCAUCUGGAAGUCUCUGGCAAAGAGGUCGGGGGUUGCCAGGCUGUGGUAACACCAGAAGAUAAGCGGUUACUGGGCACACAGGUGGAGAUGGCUGCCAAGUGGCACCCGGCAUCCCCGCGGCGCCGUUCCCCAGAACCAAGCCACUUCUUGAAACGUCUUCCCUAGAAGGCGUGCAGAUGUUCUCCUAAGAACUGGCUAAAGGCUCCAACACGCCCAAGACCAGCCAUAUUUAACUGGCGAUUUUUGAGUCUCCAGCAGUCUGGAAGUAAACAUUUGAAAUCAGACUGGGGGAGUGAAAAUGCUGGUGAUGGCCAAGAUAAGCUUUACUACUGGGAGCUGCCAAAAGAGAACGUUGCUGCCAAAGGAAUGUGCAGAUGUUGGAAAUCUCAUCGAACAGAGUUCUUAAAGAGCAUCGGGUGCCUUGAGCUUGGCUAUGCUCAGGGUUCUGCAAGACUUCUGUGGAUUAGGAAACCUCCACAGAACUGGAUGGGAAAGAAAACAGGUUGAGGGUGGGAUGAGUUUACUGUAGGUACCCAGAAAUUAAACUGUUUGCAUCUAAAUAUUGGUUGUAUCUGCAGAACCUGUUUAACUGAUUCUUUUCAUCAUGAGAUAAUUUAGUUUUACAGAUACAGAGUCCUAUUGUGUAUCUCUCAGCAUGUGAUGCAAGGGUGGCAACAGCUAGUCUAAUCACAGCCAACAAUAAAGAGGAAAUUGUAAUUAAUGGCA